CAUGUGACAGGUCUGUGGGCUGAGGGCCACAGUGCUGGCGAGGGGGGGGGGGGCUGCCCAGAAAGCCUUGUGUGAAGUCUGAAGGCUGUGCAAGGCUGUUCUUUGUGUGGGAUGAGAUCCUGCUGGGAGCAUUCUGGUGUUUCAUUGGGGUACCGUGGGUUUAGUGGUAGUAAACAGGGCUGUGAGGAUCUUGCAUUUGAGUCGUCUUCUCCACCCACCUUUUGAUGUGCCUGACUUGCCAGUUGCUCCCGUUUUCCAGAACCUACUUCAGUGUACAAACCAGUCACGGCGGAUUAAAAUUCCCCGUCACCCUCCUGCCACUUCACUGCGAGCUGCAUGCCGCAGCUGCGAAGUUCCGAAUCUGCAGACAUGGCCGGCCGGCCUCAUCGGGCUCCGCGCUCGGGCCCAGGGCUCCAGGUGACUCUACUUCAGUGCUUUCCAGCUCCCACAAAUGCACGUGCAGCAGUCUGCAGACCACCUCUAUGACUGCCUCUAUGACUCACCUCACAGACACACCACCUUGAACACUUAAUUUGAUCUUUUCUGAUCUACUAGUAAGGUUGAUCUUUCUGGAUUUUAAAUUGGUCUCUCAAAAAAUGUACCACAUUUGAUCUUCUGCAAAUAAGAUAAGAUAAGAUACGACAAAGAUGUACUUUGUUAAUCCCAAGGGGAAAUUCAUUGAUAUCA